GCACUGGCCUAGUGUUAGGGUGUCAGCUUCGAGACCUGAGAGUCUCAGGUUCAAAACCCGAUACC